UAAGAUUAAAACACGACACUCACCACCAUCUGAAAUCGCCUGCAGAUCGACAGCAGCACGACCUUCAAUGAGAACCUGGCAGACAUCGGUGGUAUUCGACAUUCAUUCCGGGCGUACCAGAGGUGGGAGCGAAGUCACUACCGGGAGCCUCGUCUUCCUGCCCUCCCCCUCUCCUCCCACCAACUCUUCUUCGUUUCCGGUGCUCAGCCAUAUUGCGCUGUCAUCCCCAAUCUUGCCAAAAUCUUGCUAAUGGAAUUGGACGAACAUCUUCCAAACGGUAUGAGAAUAAACGCAAUGAUGAUGAACACUCCUGAAUUCGCGCAAGUCUUCCAGUGCAAUAAAGGUUCAAGAAUGGUAGCCAAUAAAACGUGCCAUAUAUUUUAAAUGCUGUCAGAUGGGGUAGAAAUUGUUGAGCUUCUGUUAUAAGUGAUACUUUAGGACUACAAUCUCCGUGAUUUAAAGUGCAUUUCAAACUUUGUCAAUUUCGUCUUUCAUAACUUAGUGUCGAGGAUAAUUGCAAAAAGGAAAAUAAAUACAAAAAAAGGCAAAACGCGGGUGAUUUUUUUUCAUAUAUAAGUCACUACAUUAUUUGCUAUUUUCACCUCCUAGUAUCAUAUAUUUCAAUCUCAACCAUCUCUGUCGACACAAAAGGGGUAGUCAUUUCGUACCAAAAUUGUGUAAUUAGAUUUCUUGGGAAUGCCCAUGUUCUUUUGUAAACAAAUAAACUUUACAUGGUUAUUA